AUACGGAGGAUCCGAGCGUUAUCCGGAUUUAUUGGGUUUAAAGGGAGCGUAGGUGGACAGUUAAGUCAGUUGUGAAAGUUUGCGGCUCAACCGUAAAAUUGCAGUUGAUACUGGCUGUCUUGAGUACGGUAGAGGUGGGCGGAAUUCGUGGUGUAGCGGUGAAAUGCUUAGAUAUCACGAAGAACUCCGAUUGCGAAGGCAGCUCACUGGACUGCAACUGACACUGAUGCUCGAAAGUGUGGGUAUCAAACAGGAUUAGAUACCCUGGUAGUCCACACAGUAAACGAUGAAUACUCGCUGUUUGCGAUAUACAGUAAGCGGCCAAGCGAAAGCAUUAAGUAUUCCACCUGGGGAGUCCGCCGGCAACGGUGAAACUCAAAUGAAUUGACGGGG
rnacentral:rRNA from 1 species